UUAUGAAUAUCUCUAUAUGGAUUUUUGUUUAUUCCUGCAGUAAUAUCAUUGUUUUUUUUUUCUUCCCAGUUAUAAAAGCAUUAUUCUUGUUGGAAAUGACACACAGUGUACAUAGUCACUUGUAUUCUCAUCUUUUGUAACCAACUGUACUGAUCUCUUUGUAGUUGAGCUUUAUUAUAAAUAAGAGGCUAAGGAAGAGGCAUGGUUUGAAAAAUCAUCCAAUAUGACGCGGUCGGUUUUGGUCCCCAAACGAAACGAGUCACUGAACUGAUAUGGGACUGAACUGAGUUAAGGGGAGUCAUUACCAAGGCGAGUUACACUCCAAACCUGCUACUUAAAUCCAUAUGGCCCCUUUUCUUCCCAUUCUCACUUUUCUCCAUUUUCCCUUUUCCUACCAUGAAUAAAAACAUGAUAUCUGAGUGGGAUGCAAGGGGAAUCUGAUCAGCUCCUCCUCCUUCCCUUCUUCAUCCUUUCUUGUUCUCCUUGUCCUUCUCUCUUUUCUUCCUUUUCUAUUUCUUUUCAGCAAGUUGUAGGUUCCACCUGCAGGCAGCAGUGGGCCCCACAACGCCAAUAACCUGAUCAGCAGGCUCCAUAGGGCCUACCACCCUGACCGGCUAGCCUCAAUGUGACCUGCAGGUGUCUUCUUAGAUUCGAUAUAGUUUCCAGUGGUCGGAUUUGCUAUUGAACUUGUCGUUUUGAGCCUUUUUUUGGCACCUUGUUGUUUUGAGUAUAUUUUCUGAUGACUAGAUUUGGCACUGAACUCAUCAAACCAUUGCUUGUUGUUUGCAGCCUGCCCAUUCCAUUUGCAAGAGCAAAUUUUUGACAGACCAAAAUCAUCUUGCAAAUCUCACCUGUUCAUAUCCUCCUACCUGACCAGAUUGUGUGAAACUUCUAUUGGCAGGUUGCUGUUGCUCUGGUGGACCCAAAUUUCUCAGUAUAUCCUAGGUUCAUUAAUUCAUGUCAAAGCUGAUGACUGGAUAACCUCCUCUAUGCUUGGCAUGGUGCUUGUUUCGGAAAGACAAAGAAGAUGCUUUGGAGGUUGUUUGUCUCUUUUGGCAGUUUGGUGGGCAGUUUGGGAGGAAAUAAAUUCGAGGUGCUUCACUAACGACUUGAAGUCGAUGGAGCAAACCUCCCAGAGGGCAAGCCUUCUCGUGAUUGAUUGAGCUUCCGGUCUUUCAAGUCUUAAGUUAAGGGAUGUAAUUUUCUUUUUCUUGGGAUGUAGCCAAGUUGCCGCCUCUGCCUGCUAUCUGUUUUGCUGUUUUCUUUUGUCUCCUUUCAUAAAAGUUCGUUACCUUUGCCAAAAAAAAUAAAAAUAAAAA